rnacentral:rRNA from 1 species
UAGGGAAUCUUCGGCAAUGGACGAAAGUCUGACCGAGCAACGCCGCGUGAGUGAAGAAGGUUUUCGGAUCGUAAAACUCUGUUGUUAGAGAAGAACAAGGACGUUAGUAACUGAACGUCCCCUGACGGUAUCUAACCAGAAAGCCACGGCUAACUACGUGCCAGCAGCCGCGGUAAUACGUAGGUGGCAAGCGCUGUCCGGAUUUAUUGGGCGUAAAGCGAGCGCAGGCGGUUUCUUAAGUUGGAUGUGAAAGCCCCCGGCUCAACCGGGGAGGGUCAUUGGGAACUGGGAGACUUGAGUGCAGAAGAGGGGAGUGGAAUUCCAUGUGUAGCGGUGAAAUGCGUAGAUAUAUGGAGGAACACCAGUGGCGAAGGCGGCUCUCUGGUCUGUAACUGACGCUGAGGCUCGAAAGCGUGGGGAGCAAACAGG